rnacentral:lncRNA from 1 species
GGGCUCUUCCCAGCUCAGAUGCAGCAAAAAAGCCUAGAACCUGGGUCCUAGAUUAUAUCUAGACUAUGCGGCAGGUGGCAAGAGUGAUCGUGUUCCUGGUCCUGGGUUCUCUGAGCCUUGCUAAGACCACCCAGCCCAUCGCCAUGGAAUCAUAUGAAGGACAAGAAGUGAACAUACCCUGUAGCCACACAGACAUUGCUACAAAAAGUCGAGCACCCUGAGCCUGUCCCGGGCUGCCCUGAGUGACAGUGCUGUGUACUACUGCAUCCUGGAUGACACACAGUGCGACAGCUGGGUCUGCACCUGCACAGUAUCCC